GAUGAACGCUGGCGGCGUGCCUAAUACAUGCAAGUCGAGCGAAUGGAUUAAGAGCUUGCUCUUAUGAAGUUAGCGGCGGACGGGUGAGUAACACGUGGGUAACCUGCCCAUAAGACUGGGAUAACUCCGGGAAACCGGGGCUAAUACCGGAUAACAUUUUGAACCGCAUGGUUCGAAAUUGAAAGGCGGCUUCGGCUGUCACUUAUGGAUGGACCCGCGUCGCAUUAGCUAGUUGGUGAGGUAACGGCUCACCAAGGCAACGAUGCGUAGCCGACCUGAGAGGGUGAUCGGCCACACUGGGACUGAGACACGGCCCAGACUCCUACGGGAGGCAGCAGUAGGGAAUCUUCCGCAAUGGACGAAAGUCUGACGGAGCAACGCCGCGUGAGUGAUGAAGGCUUUCGGGUCGUAAAACUCUAUUGUUAGGGAAGAACAAGUGCUAGUUGGAUAAGCUGGCACCUUGACGGUACCUAACCAGAAAGCCACGGCUAACUACGUGCCAGCAGCCGCCGUAA
rnacentral:rRNA from 1 species